UACGUAGGUGGCAAGCGUUGUCCGGAAUUACUGGGCGUAAAGCGCCUGUAGGCGGGAACGUGCGUCGGACGUGAAAGGCGGGGGCUUAACCCCCGAGCGGCGUUCGAAACGGCGUUUCUUGAGGGUCGAAGAGGAGCGUGGAAUUCCCGGUGUAGCGGUGAAAUGCGUAGAGAUCGGGAGGAACACCCAUGGCGAAGGCAGCGCUCUGGUCGGCAUCUGACGCUGAGAGGCGAAAGCGUGGGGAGCGAACGGG
rnacentral:rRNA from 1 species